GACGAACGCUGGCGGCGUGCUUAACACAUGCAAGUCGAACGGUGAAGCGCCUUCCUUUUUGGUGGGUGUGGAUGAGUGGCGAACGGGUGAGUAACACGUGAGUAACCUGCCCCCUUCUUCUGGAUAACCGCAUGAAAGUGUGGCUAAUACGGGAUAUUCUGGGUCUGUCGCAUGAUGGGUCUGGGAAAGAUAUUGUUUCGGUGGGGGAUGGGCUCGCGGCCUUUCAGCUUGUUGGUGGGGUGAUGGCCUACCAAGGCGGUGACGGGUAGCCGGCCUGAGAGGGUGGACGGUCACACUGGGCCUGAGACACGGCCCAGACUCCUACGGGAGGCAGCAGUGGGGAAUAUUGCACAAUGGGCGCAAGCCUGAUGCAGCGACGCCGCGUGAGGGAUGGAGGCCUUCGGGUUGUGAACCUCUUUCGCCAGUGAAGCAGGCCUGCCUCGUUUGUGGGUGGGUUGACGGUAGCUGGAUAAGAAGCGCCGGCUAACUACGUG
rnacentral:rRNA from 1 species